rnacentral:rRNA from 1 species
UCGGGAAUUUUGGGCAAUGGGCGAAAGCCUGACCCAGCAACGCCGCGUGAGGGAUGAAGUAUUUCGGUAUGUAAACCUCGAAAGAAUGGGAAGAAUAAAUGACGGUACCAUUUGUAAGCUCCGGCUAACUACGUGCCAGCAGCCGCGGUAAUACGUAGGGAGCAAGCGUUGUUCGGAUUUACUGGGCGUAAAGGGCGCGUAGGCGGCGCGGUAAGUCACUUGUGAAAUCUCUGAGCUUAACUCAGAACGGCCAAGUGAUACUGCUGUGCUAGAGUGCGGAAGAGGCUACCGGAAUUCUUGGUGUAGCGGUGAAAUGCGUAGAUAUCAAGAGGAACACCUGAGGCGAAGGCGGGUUGCUGGGCCGACACUGACGCUGAUGCGCGAAAGCCAGGGGAGCAAACG